AGGAAGGUUGGGAUUGAUUUUGGGGUUAUUGUACGAACAGUAAAGGAAUUAGGGGCCAAAAAUAAGCAUUUUUGUAACUUCCAGACAUAACUUGUGUGUUAGUGUAUGGAUCUCUCUGACAUUGUACCACAAGGUUCCAUAUCACAAAAGGAAUGCUGGGAUUGAUUUUGGGGGUAAUUGCCUCAAAAUUUUAGGAAUUAGGGGCCAAAAAAGGGGCAAAAAACAAGCAUUUUUCUAGUUUCAUGACAAUAACUUGUGUGUAAGUGUAUGGAUCUUUCUGAAAUUGUACUACAAGGUUCCAUAUCACAAAGGGAAAGCUGGAAUUGAGUUUGGGGGUAAUUGCCGAAACGUUUAGGAAUUGGGGGCCAAAAAGGGGCCAAAAAUAAGCAUUUUUCUAGUUUCCAGACAAUAACUUGUGUUCAAGUGUAUGGAUCUCUCUGAAAUUGUACUGCAAGGUACCAUACCACAAAGGGAAGGCUGGGAUUGAUGAUGGGGAUGAUUGCCUCAAUAUUUUAGGAAUUAGGGGCCAAAAAGGGGCAAAAAACAAGCAUUUUUCUAGUUUCAGGACAAUAACUUGUGUGUAAGUGUAUGGAUCUUUCUGAAAUUGUACUACAAGGUUUCAUAUCACAAAGGGAAAGCUGGGUUUGAGUUUGGGGGUAAUUGCUCUAAACGUUUAGGAAUUUGGGGCCAAAAAGGGGCCAAAAAUAAGCAUUUUUCUAGUUUCCAGACAAUAACUUAUGUUCAAGUGUAUGGAUCUCUCUGAAAUUGUACUGCAAGGUACCAUAUCACAAAGGGAAGGCUGGGAUUGAGUUUGGGGGUGAUGAAUCAUAAGGGGGUUCAAAAAAUUGGGGGGGGGGGAUUUUUUUGUUUUUCAUUUUUUUUUUCUUUUAAAAUUUUCCAUUUUAAGUUGGUUAUUUCUGAUUUAUAUUUAAAAGCAAAUAAUAAUGAUAUGGUAGGAGAUACACACCAAACAGGAUGUGUAAAUUAUUAUAUAAUAAGUAUUGUGCAAUAGCAAGAAAUUUUCAAUUGCACAGUAUUGCACAAUAGCAAGAAAUCUUCAAUUGCACAGUAUUGCGCAAUAGCAAGAAAUCUUCAAUUGCACAGUAUUGCGCAAUAGCAAGAAAUAUCCAAUAGCACAAUAUUGUGCAAUAGCAAGAAAUUGUCAAUUGUACAGUAUUGCGCAAUAGCAAGAAAUAUUUAAUUGCACAGUAUUGUGCAAAAGAAGAUACUUCGUAUAAAUUGCUUAUUUCUUGACCAAUUUCAAUGGGGUUUUAUUCUUGAAUUCUUGGGGUUCUUUAAUAUGCUGAAUCUAACCGUGUAUUUAGUUUUUGGAUUUUGGGCCCCGUUUUUAAAUUGGUCCACAUUAAGGUCCAAAGGGUCCAAAAUUAAACUUUGUUUGAUUUCAUCAAAAAUUGAAUUAUUGGGGUUCUUUGAUAUGCCGAAUCUAACCGUGUAUUUAGAUUCUUAAGUUUUGGUUCCGUUUUCAAAUUGGUCUACAUUAAGGUCCAAAGGGUCCAAAAUUAAACUUAGUUUGAUUUUAACAAAAAUUGAAUUCUUAGGGUUCUUUGAUAUGCUGAAUCUAAACAUGUAUUUAGAUUUUUGAUUAUGGGCCCAGUUUUCAAGUUGGUCCAAAUCGGGGUCCAAAAUUAAACUUUGUUUGAUUUCAACAAAAAUUGAAUAUAUGGGGUUCUUUGAUAUGCUGAAUCUAACCAUGUAUUUAGAUUUUUGAUUUUUGGGCCCCGUUAUCAACUUUGUCCACAUUGAGGUCAAAAGGGUCCAAAAUUAAACUUUGUUUGAUUUCAUCAAAAAUUGAAUUCUUGGGGUUCUUUGAUAUGCUGAAUCUAACCAUGUAUUUAGAUUUUGGAUAUUGGACCAUAAUAGGUGAAUGUCCAAUUUAAGAUUUUUAAGUUCUUAGACCACAUUCAUUCUGUGUCAGAAACCUAUGCUGUGUCAAAUAUUUAAUCACAAUCCAAAUGCAAAGCUGUAUCAAGCUUGAAUGUUGUGUCCAUACUUGCCCCAACUGUUCAGGGUUCGACCUCUGCGGUCGUAUCAAGCUGCGCCCUGCGGAGCAUUUUAUUAAUGUUUCUUUUGGUAUCAUCUGGUGCCUCUUUUUUCUCUCCAUUUUUUUUCAAAAUAAUUUGUGAUAUGAUAAAAAGUGAAGAUAAAGGUAUUACUAUGAAGGAUUUAAUUAUAAUUUUCCAGAAAUUUUAAGUUUUUUAGUGCUUUAAAUAAUGGAAUUAUCUCCUCUUUUCUCUAAUUGGAAGUUCUUCCCCUUAAUUGAUGGGGUAGACAGAGAGGUGUCAGAUUCCCAUUUUCCUACCCCUACUCCUAAUUCCCUCCCCUACUCCCAAUUUCCUCCCCCUACUCCGACUUCCCUCCCCUACUCCCAAUUCCAUCCCCCUACUCCCACUUCCCUCUUCCCUACUCCCAGACGAAAAUUGGUCAAUUUUUUUACCUAGAAUAUCCCUAUUUUAACUCCCCCUUUCCCCUUUCCCCUGGUUCCCACCCCCACCCCCUGACUCCCACUUCCCACCCUCUCAUUUUCCAUGUUCCCUAACCUCUGUCUACCCCUUUUAAUUAUUUUUUUAUUCUCUGUAAGGUAUUCAUUUGCCUAUUUUCUAUGUGGAAUAGAACUGGAAAGUAUAUACAAUAUAUAUCAAUGACUAAAAAUGGAAACUUUAACAAACUAAUGAGUGUUAUAAGAAUAGUUGUUGUAAUUUAUAGAUUCAAGUAAUAUUUCUCUAGAAAAACUUGUUUCAUCAUGCACAUGCACCCAAUCUAGGUGAAAUCGGAUGCUGAUAAGAAAAAUAUAUAUAUAUAUUUUUCUUAUCAGCAUAUAUAUAUAUAGGUAUAUAUAAUUUGUAUAUGAUAUACAUUAUAUAUUUUGUUAACCGAUUUGAUUCAAAGAAAACCAUUCCAAAUAUUAUUUUUAUGAAAAAGUUUUAUUUUUAUUUUUGUGUGACUAAAACAAUUAUUUUUAUACGACCGCAAAAAUUAAAAAUUUUUUGGUCGUAUAUUGGUAUGACGUUGGCGUCGUCGUCUUCAUCCGGCGUCGUCCGAAGACACAUUGGUUUUCGCACUCUAACUUUAGUUAAAGUGAAUGGAUCUCCAUGAAAUUUUACCAUAAGGUUAUAUACCACGAAAGGAAGGUUGGGAUUGAUUUUGGGGGUUAUGGUACCAACAGUUAAGGAAUUAUGGGCCAAAAAGGGGCCAAAAAUAAGCAUUUUUGUAACUUCCAGACAAUAACUUGUGUGUAAGUGAAUGGAUCUCUCUGACAUUGUACCACAAGGUUCCAUAUCACAAAGGGAAUGCUCGGAUCGAUUUUGGGGGUAAUUGCCUCAAAAUUUCAGGAAUUAGGGGCCAAAAAAGGGGCAAAAAACAAGCAUUUUUCUAGUUUCAUGACAAUAACUUGUGUGUAAGUGUUUGGAUAUUUCUGAAAUUGUACUACAAGGUUCCAUAUCACAAAGGGAAAGCUGGAAUUGAGUUUGGGGGUAAUUGCCCGAAACGUUUAGGAAUUGGGGGCCAAAAAGGGGCCAAAAAUAAGCAUUUUUCUAGUUUCCAGACAAUAACUUGUGUUCAAGUGUAUGGAUGUCUCUGAAAUUGUACUGCAAGGUACCAUACCACAAAGGGAAGGCUGGGAUUGAGUGUGGGGUGAUGAAUCAUAAGGGGGUUCAAAAAAUUUUGGGGGGGGGGGAUUUUUUUUUUCUUCUUUUUUCUUUUUUUCCUUUUUUUUUUCUUUUAAAAUUUUCCAUUUUAAGUUGGUUAUUUCUGAUUUAUAUUUAAAAGCAAAUAAUAAUGAUAUGGUAGGAGAUACACACCAAACAGGAUGUGUAAGUUAUUAUAUAAUAAGUAUUGUGCAAUAGCAAGAAAUUUUCGAUUGCACAGUAUUGCACAAUAGCAAGAAAUAUCCAAUAGCACAAUAUUGCGCAAUAGCAAGAAAUUGUCAAUUGUACAGUAUUGCGCAAUAGCAAGAAAUAUUCAAUUGCACAGUAUUGUGCAAAAGAAGAUACUUCGUAUAAAUUGCUUAUUUCUUGAUCAAUUUCAAUGGGGUUUUAUUCUUGAAUUCUUGGGGUUCUUUAAUAUGCUGAAUCUAACCGUGUAUUAAGUUUUUGUAUUUUGGGCCCCGUUUUUAAAUUGGUCCACAUUGAGGUCCAAAGGGUCCAAAAUUUAACUUUGUUUGAUUUCGUCAAAAAUUGAAUUAUUGGGGUUCUUUGAUAUGCCGAAUCUAGCCGUGUAUUUACAUUCUUAAUUUUUGGUUCCGUUUUCAAAUUGGUCUACAUUAAGGUCCAAAGGGUCCAAAAUUAAACUUAGUUUGAUUUCAACAAAAAUUGAAUUUUUAGGGUUUUUUGAUAUGCUGAAUCUAAACAUGUAUUUAGAUUUUUGAUUAUGGGCCCAGUUUUCAAGUUGGUCCAAAUCGGGGUCCAAAAUUAAACUUUGUUUGAUUUCAACAAAAAUUGAAUAUAUGGGGUUCUUUGAUAGGCUGAAUCUAACCAUGUUUUUAGAUUUUUGAUUUUUGGACCCCGUUAUCAACUUUGUCCACAUUGAGGUCAAAAGGGUCCAAAAUUAAACUUUGUUUGAUUUCAUCAAAAAUUGAAUUCUUGGGGUUCUUUGAUAUGCUGAAUCUAACCAUGUAUUUAGAUUUUGGAUAUUGGACCAUAAUAGAUGAAUGUCCAAUUUAAAAUUUUUAAGUUCUUAGACCACAUUCAUUCUGUGUCUGAAACCUAUGAUGUGUCAAAUAUUUAAUCACAAUCCAAAUUCAGAGCUGUAUCAAGCUUGAAUGUUGUGUCCAUACUUGCCCCUACUGUUCAGGGUUCAACCUCUGCGGUCGUAUCAAGCUGCGCCCUGCGAAGCAUUUUAUUUAAAUUUAUAUUAUUGUUGUAUUUUAUUAUUUUAACAGUAAACAAGCAUGCAUUCACUGUUGUUUGGGAAGGAGUGUAUAUUGAGGAAAGUUUUAAAUUUUGGAAUUAUAAUAGUGUUAAAAUACACAAGUUAUGCAAUUUUAGCUAAAACAAACGGUUUAUCCGUUUCUUUUUUUAUAAGUAGCGAUGGUAACAUUUAAAGUAAUACUAUUUUCCACUUUUCUGAUAUAAAUAGUUCAUGUAAAAUGUAAACUUGUUGAACCAUUUGCUACAUGCACUUUUGGACCAAAAUAACUACUUAGUAAGAUUGAUUGACUGAUUGAUUGGUGUUUAACACCACUUUCAGCACUAUUGUUUUAUUUCAUGGCAGUCAGUUUUUAUUAGUGGAGGAAGCCAUAGUGCCUGGAGAGAAUCACGACCUUCGAUAGGAAAUCUGACAAUCCUAGUCAAUUAAGAUAGGAGUGGAGGGCACCUGCCACAUUCGGGAUUAGAACUCACAACCUCAGUGUUGACAGUAGUUCGACUUCUUAGACCAACUUAUGCAACCGAGGCCCCCUACUUUGUUAGAAAAGGCAUAUGUUUUAGCUAGAUGUACAACCUCAAAAAAUUAUCUUCGGGCAAGUGUUAACUGUAUUUAAAACUAUCUUCAGGCAGGAUGUAUCUUUAACCAUCUUACUAUGGCUUAAUUAUUUUAUCCUUUAAGUAUAUUGUUCAUUUCAAAUUUUAUUUGUAAGGAAAUUUAAUGAAUAUAUUUUGGAUUAAAUUUUAUUAUUUUAGGUCCAACUUUGAUUUCAUUACAUAUUUUGUUUCUAUAGUAAAAGUUGUAUUACUUAAGGUUACUUUAAACCAGAAAAUGUUAUGAUGCAAUGUUUUAAAUAAAAUUAUGCAAUAAUGAAAUGUUAUUGGUUUUGUAUUUAUUAGAACUCUGAAUUAUGAAUUCUGUUUGCAUUUGUUUGAAGCUGUUCCUGAAUUGCCAUUUCAUUAUGAAGCAUUUUGAUAUGAAAUAGAGGAGUACAGUAAUAUAGUAUACGUGGAUGAGAAAGCAUCCACACGAUACACAUACUGUGGAUUCGUUAUUUUUUGCAAGAUACCAACUUUCCUGGAUUUCGUGGGUAUAGGUAAACCACGAAUUCAAAUGUUCAACGAAUUACACAUUUUAUAUAGAUUUGUAUGCAGACUUUGCAAAACCACGAAAUUAAAUAUCCACGACAAUACAAGUUUGCCCGGAUCCAUGAAAAUUGGUAUCCACGAAAACAAAUGAAUCAACAGUAACCACAAUAUAUCUAAAGGUCAACAUACAAGUCUUUAACAAUAGAUGUCUAAACAAUAUGUCAGCUCUAAAUGAGUCAAUUGUUUAAAAAGUUCCUUAAUGAGUGCUUUCUGAAUUUAGAUGUAGUCAUAUCUUAAUGUUUUUGUCAUAAAGAUCUUUGCAAACUUU